rnacentral:tRNA from 1 species
GUGGGCGUAGCUCAGUUGGUUAGAGCGCCAGGUUGUGGUCCUGGAGGCCGUGGGUUCAAAUCCCACCGCUCACCCCU